GAACGCUGGCGGCGUGCCUAAUACCUGCAAGUCGAGCGAACGGACGAGAAGCUUGCUUUUCUGAUGUUAGCGGCGGACGGGUGAGUAACACGUGGAUAACCUACCUAUAAGACUGGGAUAACUUCGGGAAACCGGAGCUAAUACCGGAUAAUAUUUUGAACCGCAUGGUUCAAAAGUGAAAGACGGUCUUGCUGUCACUUAUAGAUGGAUCCGCGCUGCAUUAGCUAGUUGGUAAGGUAACGGCUUACCAAGGCAACGAUGCAUAGCCGACCUGAGAGGGUGAUCGGCCACACUGGAACUGAGACACGGUCCAGACUCCUACGGGAGGCAGCAGUAGGGAAUCUUCCGCAAAGGGCGAAAGCCUGACGGAGCAACGCCGCGUGAGUGAUGAAGGUCUUCGGAUCGUAAAACUCUGUUAUUAGGGAAGAACAUAUGUGUAAGUAACUGUGCACAUCUUGACGGUACCUAAUCAGAAAGCCACGGCUAACUACGUG
rnacentral:rRNA from 1 species